GAUCUUAUGUAACUACGCACAGACAACAUAUAUGUACAAACUCAAGUUCCAUUCAUUGUUGUUCCAACCAAAAAAUAGAGAUUAACUCCUCCGAACUACAGUUAAUGUUACAAAGAUUGGAGAACAAACUACAUAUAAUUUGCACGAUUAUUACAUAAACAAAUAACAUAUAAUCAGACACAACAAAAUACAUAAGAUGCUCUUCCUACUAUUAGGAUUCUAGCUGUGAUUCAUCUUAUCCUUUUGGUUCAACCCUUGAUUGAUCAUCUGAUGACCCUCUAACUCUUGCUCAACCUCCGUCCAUUGUUCAUUCUCUAUCCCUUUCAAUACCAAUUGAAUCUUUAAUGAUUUAUAAUUGGCUAAUCCUUCUUCAAUCUCUCUCAAUUGUUCACCAAUCAUAGAAGGACAAACCUAGAACGCUCAUUAAUAACAUCAUCCCUCCAUCAAAAAAAAUUACAAGACUUGGUUUGAAAUUUGAAGAGAUAUAAAUCAUUUUAAAGUAACCAAAAAAUAUGGACAACAUCAAUCAAUUGCCCAAAUACUUACACCAUAUUAUGAAAAAUACCAGAACCGUCUUCCAGGGUUCCAAGUCGACCAAGAAGUUUGCAAUGACAGCAAAUCUUCAUGCUUGCAACGCACCUUCAGAUUCAACAUUGGGUCAUGCUCGUCCAUACAAAGUUGAUUCAAGUUGAUUCCUGCCAUUUCAAACACUGAAAAACAGAGAAUUAGCACAGAUUAAUUUCAAUAGAGAACCCUAAAAAUAAUCUAUAAAAUAUAACUAAGAAAAUUAAAGAUUGAGGAGGAGAAGUUAAUACUAUACAAGAAGGUUGCAAUGCAAAAAAAUCCCUUUCUAUUCACCAAAAUCGAGCUUCAAUGGCGGACGGAAUCGGGUGUGGAAGAAGAGAAAGAAUUUUAACCUAAUUAAAUAAAUGGUAUGUGACAGUUAAAUAAAGGCAUGGAAGUAUAAAUUAUAUUAUUCACGCGCUCACAAAUCGUGCAGACACCCU
rnacentral:lncRNA from 1 species